UCCAAAAUAUUUAAACAAAAAUCAGCGGGAAGAUAGUUGGCGGCAAAUAUCUGCUCAAAUUAAUAUGCCUGUCAAGGAAGUGAAAAACAAAAUGGUGUCCUUGUGUGGUUCUUAUCGUCGAGAGAAAAGCAGGGAGAAAAAAAGUCGCAUAACAGGUUCAGGCGCUGCAGAUGUUUAUAAUUCGAAGUGGUUUGGAUAUCCUUAUUUCCAUUUUCUUAAGGAUAAAAAUGAAACUGGUGACACUCGGGAAACAAUGCCGAAUGAGACAAUACCGGAAUCUUCACAAACUUCUGACGUAGAGAGACACACAGAGGCUGAAAACGCUCCGACCAAGUCACAAUUGCCGGAGGCUAGCAUCGAGGAAGCGCCACCACAAAAACAACAAGACCUAGCCUCGGAAACUAUCAUGCCUUCACCAUCAGAAACGCACACACCACUCGUAAAAAAAACGACAUAAUCCUAAGAAAACGCAGCCACAGGAAGAUCCGGCAGAUAUCAUGCUCUCAGAAGCCCUUGAAUGCUUGCAAAAGUCUUCGACCGACAUCAUCGAUCCAUACUCUUCAUUUGGAAGAUACAUAGCCAAGGAAAUAUGAUCCGCACACAUUAGCGUAUGUUAAGAACGCUAUCAAUAAUAUAAUUUUUGAAGCCGAUAUAGGGAAAUACACACAACAACAAAUUAAUACAGGAUACUAUACACAGCAGUACAGUAAUUCCCCUACAAUGGACUCAUCUGGCACUUCAUUACAUUACAUACAUUACACCAUCACCUAAUGCCAAUGAUGGAGUCGAAACUAUCACUGAAUUGUAGUUAAAAUAAACAAUUGAUUUUUAAA